rnacentral:rRNA from 1 species
GACGAACGCUGGCGGCGUGCUUAACACAUGCAAGUCGAACGGAAAGGCCCUGCUUUUGUGGGGUGCUCGAGUGGCGAACGGGUGAGUAACACGUGAGUAACCUGCCCUUGACUUUGGGAUAACUUCAGGAAACUGGGGCUAAUACCGGAUAGGAGCUCCUGCUGCAUGGUGGGGGGUGGAAAGUUUCGGCGGUUGGGGAUGGACUCGCGGCUUAUCAGCUUGUUGGUGGGGUAGUGGCUUACCAAGGCGUUGACGGGUAGCCGGCAUGAGAGGGGGACCAGGGACAAGGGGCCUGAGAGACGGAGCAGACGCCUACGGGAGGCAGCGGGGGGAAGUAUUACACAAUGGGACCGAGCCUGAUGCAGAGACGCCGGGUGUGGGAAGACGGCCUUCGGGUUGUGAACCGCUUUCGCCUGUGACGAAGCGUGAGUGACGGUAAUGGGUAAAGAAGCACCGGCUAACUACGUG